CCGGUGACAAACCGGAGGAAGGUGGGGAUGACGUCAAAUCAUCAUGCCCCUUAUGAUUUGGGCUACACACGUGCUACAAUGGACAAUACAAAGGGCAGCAAAACCGCGAGGCCAAGCAAAUCCCAUAAAGUUGUUCUCAGUUCGGAUUGUAGUCUGCAACUCGACUACAUGAAGCUGGAAUCGCUAGUAAUCGUAGAUCAGCAUGCUACGGUGAAUACGUUCC
rnacentral:rRNA from 1 species